rnacentral:rRNA from 1 species
AUACGUAGGGUGCAAGCGUUAAUCGGAAUUACUGGGCGUAAAGCGUGCGCAGGCGGUUUUGGAAGACAGUGGUGAAAUCCCCGGGCUCAACCUGGGAACUGCCAUUGUGACUGCAAGGCUGGAGUGCGGCAGAGGGGGAUGGAAUUCCGCGUGUAGCAGGGAAAUGCGUAGAUAUGCGGAGGAACACCGAUGGCGAAGGCAAUCCCCUGGGCCUGCACUGACGCUCAUGCACGAAAGCGUGGGGAGCAAACAGGAUUAGAUACCCUGGUAGUCCACGCCCUAAACGAUGUCAACUGGUUGUUGGGGAUUUAUUUUCUCAGUAACGAAGCUAACGCGUGAAGUUGACCGCCUGGGGAGUACGGCCGCAAGGUUAAAACUCAAAGGAAUUGACGGGG